rnacentral:rRNA from 1 species
UACGUAGGGUGCGAGCGUUGUCCGGAAUUAUUGGGCGUAAAGAGCUCGUAGGCGGUUUGUCGCGUCUGCUGUGAAAUUUCGGGGCUCAACCCCGAACUUGCAGUGGGUACGGGCAGACUAGAGUGUGGUAGGGGAGACUGGAAUUCCUGGUGUAGCGGUGAAAUGCGCAGAUAUCAGGAGGAACACCGGUGGCGAAGGCGCUCAUCUGGCCCAAUACUGACGCUGAAGCGCGAAAGCUAGGGGAGCAAACGGG